UGUUCGUUAUUUAGGGCGCAUGGUGGAUGCCUUGGCAUGCUGAGCCGAUGAAGGACGUGUAAGGCUGCGUUAAGCCUCGGGGAGUUGUCAAUUGAGCGUUGAUCCGAGGAUGUCCGAAUGGGGAAACCCCGCCAUCGUUAUUGGUGGUGACCUUUCAGUGAAUUCAUAGCUGUUGUGGGGGUGUACGCGGGGAAGUGAAACAUCUCAGUACCCGUAGGAGGAGAAAAUAAUAAUGAUUCUGCUAGUAGUGGCGAACGAACGUGGAUGAGGCUAAACCGUGUGCAUGUGAUACCUGGUAGGGGUUGUGUGUGCGGUGUUGUGGGCCCUGAUGUCUGGUAGCUACUGAUGCCGGGCUUGUGUGUUGUUGUUAGGUGAAGUGGUUUGGAAUGACCCGCCGUAGAAGGUGAGAGCCCUGUAGGUGAAGAUGAUGGUGUGCAAGUUGUUGGGUUGCCCGAGUAGCAGCGGGCUCGUGGAAUCUGCUGUGAAUCUGCCGGGACCACCCGGUAAGCCUAAAUACUCAGUGUGACCGAUAGUGAAUAGUACCGUGAGGGAAUGGUGAAAAGUACCCCGGGAGGGGAGUGAAAUAGUUCCUGAAACCAUGUGCUUACAAUCCGUUAGAGCACCUUUUGUGUGUGAUGGCGUGCCUUUUGAAGAAUGAGCCUGCGAGUCAGCGGCAUGUCGCGAGGUUAACCCGUGUGGGGUAGCCGUAGGGAAACCGAAUCCUAAUGGGGUGUUUUUAGUGGCAUGUCCUGGACCCGAAGCGGGGUGAUCUACCCAUGGCCAGUGUGAAGCAGUAGUAAGAUGCUGUGGAGGCGCGAACCCACGUAGGUUGAAAACUGCGGGGAUGAGUUGUGGGUAGGGGUGAAAGGCCAAUCAAACUCCGUGAUAGCUGGUUCUCCCCGAAAUGCAUUUAGGUGCAGCGUCGCAUUAGCUUGGUGGAGGUAGAGCUACUGGUUGGUUGAGCGGGACUACAAUCUUAGCAAUGUCAGCCAAACUCCGAAUGCCAUUAAUGUGUUGUGCGGCAGUGAGACUGUGGGGGAUAAGCUUCAUAGUCGAGAGGGAAACAGCCCAGAUCGCCGGUUAAGGCCCCUAAGGGUGUGCUAAGUGGAAAAGGAUGUGGGAUCGCGAAGACAGCCAGGAGGUUGGCUUAGAAGCAGCCAUCCUUGAAAGAGUGCGUAAUAGCUCACUGGUCGAGUGGUUCUGCGCCGACAAUGUAGUGGGGCUCAAGCACACCGCCGAAGCCGCGGCAUAUAUGCACUUUGUGUGUGUAUGGGUAGGGGAGCGUCGUGCAUGCGUUGAAGCGUUACCGUGAGGAGGCGUGGAGUGUGUGCGAGUGAGAAUGCAGGCAUGAGUAACGAAUUGAUAGGUGAGAAUCCUAUCCGCCGGAUGACUAAGGGUUCCUGGGUCAAGUUCGUCUUCCCAGGGUGAGUCGGGACCUAAGGCGAGGCCGUCAGGCGUAGUCGAUGGACAACCAGUUGAUAUUCUGGUACCCGUAAGCAUGCGCCCAUGAUAAAGCAUUGAUACUAACCACCAUGCCGGCACGUGUACUUCUAGCCUUUUAGGUUGGUUGUUGGUGUUUGGUGUCGUGGGGCCUGAUAUGUGGUUCAAGCGAUGGGGUGACACAGUUGGGUAGCCAUGCCGCUUAUUGGAUUGUUGGUGUAAGCGUGUAGCUGGGGGUGAGUGGUAAAUCCGCAUCCCCUUUAUGUGAGACGUGAUGCGUAGCCGUAAUUGGUGAAGUUGGUGAUCCCUUGCUGUCGAGAAAAGCCUCUAGUGAGUGUGUUUAUGGCCCGUACCCUAAACCGACACAGGUAGUCAGGUUGAAAAUACUAAGGCGUUCGGGUGAACUGUGGUUAAGGAACUCGGCAAAUUGCCCCCGUAACUUCGGGAGAAGGGGGACCUUGCGUGGUGGCACAUCCUUGCGGUGUGUGUGCUUCGUGGGGUCGCAGAGAAUAGAGGGAAGCGACUGUUUAUCAAAAACACAGGUCCAUGCGAAGACGUUAAGUUGAUGUAUAUGGACUGACGCCUGCCCGGUGCUGGAAGGUUAAGAGGACCGGUUAGUCACAUAUUGUGUGGCGAAGCUGAGAAUUUAAGCCCCAGUAAACGGCGGUGGUAACUAUAACCAUCCUAAGGUAGCGAAAUUCCUUGUCGGGUAAGUUCCGACCUGCACGAAUGGCGUAACGACUUCCCUGCUGUCUCAACCACAGGCCCGGUGAAAUUGCACUACGAGUAAAGAUGCUCGUUACGCGCGGCAGGACGAAAAGACCCCGGGACCUUCACUAUAGCUUGGUAUUGGUGUUUGGUUCGGUUUGUGUAGGAUAGGUGGGAGACUUAGAAGCAUUAACGCUAGUUGGUGUGGAGUCGUUGUUGAAAUACCACUCUGAUCGGAUUGAGCACCUGAACCUUGGCCCAUGAUCUGGGUUGGGGACAGUGCCUGGUGGGUAGUUUAACUGGGGCGGUUGCCUCCCAAAAUGUAACGGAGGCGCCCAAAGGUUCCCUCAGCCUGGUUGGCAAUCAGGUGGUGAGUGUAAGUGCACAAGGGAGCUUGACUGCGAGAGUGACAACUCGAGCAGGGACGAAAGUCGGGACUAGUGAUCCGGCACCUACUUGUGGAUGUGGUGUCGCUCAACGGAUAAAAGGUACCCCGGGGAUAACAGGCUGAUCUUCCCCAAGAGUCCAUAUCGACGGGAUGGUUUGGCACCUCGAUGUCGGCUCGUCGCAUCCUGGGGCUGGAGUAGGUCCCAAGGGUUGGGCUGUUCGCCCAUUAAAGCGGCACGCGAGCUGGGUUCAGAACGUCGUGAGACAGUUCGGUCUCUAUCCGCCGCGCGCGUUGAAACUUGAAGAAGGCUGUCCCUAGUACGAGAGGACCGGGACGGACGUACCUCUAGUGUGCCAGUUGUUCCGCCAGGGGCAUUGCUGGUUGGCUACGUACGGAAGGGAUAACCGCUGAAAGCAUCUAAGCGGGAAGCCUGUUUUAAGAUGAGGUUUCAUUUGAGGUCCCCUAAAGACUAUGGGGUUGAUAGGCCAGACCUGUAAGCACUGUAAAGUGUUAAGGCUACUGGUACUAAUAGACCAAAACAAACACACCC
rnacentral:rRNA from 1 species